UCUCGUUAGAUCACCGAAGUCAGGCAUCAUUGGGCGCGGUCAGUACUUGGGUGGGUGACCACCUGGGAACGUCGCGUGCCGU